CAGGCCUACACAUGCAAGUCAAGGAGAAAGUAGUCUUCGGAUUAUAAGUAAACUGGGGACGGGUGAGUAACGCGUAGGCAACCUGCCCUUGUGUUUGGGAUAACUCGAGAAAUCGGGGCUAAUACCGAAUGAAGUUAUUUAAUCGCAUGAUUAGUGAUUAAAGGUGUCGUAAGUUAUCGCACAGGGAUGGGCCUGCGUUCCAUAGCUAGUUGGUAAGGUAACGGCUUACCAAGGCUGCGAUGGAUAGCUGAUUGAGAGGGUGAUCAGCCACACUGGGACUGAGAUACGGCCCAGACUCCUAGGGAGGCAGCAGUGAGGAAUAUUGCGCAAUGGAGGAAACUCUGACGCAGAACGCCGCGUGGGGGAUGAAGCACUAUGGUGUGUAAACCUCUGUAGGUUGGAAGAACGGCAUAUAUUCGUAAGGAUAUGUGUUGACGGUACCAUCAAGUAAGCUCCGGCUAACUCCGUGCCAGCAGCCGCGG
rnacentral:rRNA from 1 species